UACAGAGGGUGCAAACGUUGUUCGGAUUUACUGGGCGUAAAGCGCGUGUAGGCUGCUCGCAAGUCGGAUGUGAAAGCCCUGGGCUCAACCCAGGAAGUGCAUUCGAAACUGCAGAGCUGGAGUCCUGGAGAGGAAGGCGGAAUUCUCGGUGUAGAGGUGAAAUUCGUAGAUAUCGAGAGGAACACCGGUGGCGAAGGCGGCCUUCUGGACAGUGACUGACGCUGGAGACGCGAAAGCGUGGGAGCAACAGG
rnacentral:rRNA from 1 species